rnacentral:rRNA from 1 species
AGACCCGAAACCCGGUGAUCUAGCCAUGGGCAGGUUGAAGGUUGGGUAACACUAACUGGAGGACCGAACCGACUAAUGUUGAAAAAUUAGCGGAUGACCUGUGGCUGGGGGUGAAAGGCCAAUCAAACCGGGAGAUAGCUGGUUCUCCCCGAAAGCUAUUUAGGUAGCGCCUCGUGAAUUCAUCUCCGGGGGUAGAGCACUGUUUCGGCUAGGGGGCCAUCCCGGCUUACCAACCCGAUGCAAACUGCGAAUACCGGAGAAUGUUAUCACGGGAGACACACGGCGGGUGCUAACGUCCGUCGUGAAGAGGGAAACAACCCAGACCGCCAGCUAAGGUCCCAAAGUCAUGGUUAAGUGGGAAACGAUGUGGGAAGGCCCAGACAGCCAGGAUGUUGGCUUAGAAGCAGCCAUCAUUUAAAGAAAGCGUAAUAGCUCACUGGUCGAGUCGGCCUGCGCGGAAGAUGUAACGGGGCUAAACCAUGCACCGAAGCUGCGGCAGCGACGCUUAUGCGUUGUUGGGUAGGGGAGCGUUCUGUAAGCCUGUGAAGGUGGCCUGUGAGGGUUGCUGGAGGUAUCAGAAGUGCGAAUGCUGACAUAAGUAACGAUAAAGCGGGUGAAAAGCCCGCUCGCCGGAAGACCAAGGGUUCCUGUCCAACGUUAAUCGGGGCAGGGUGAGUCGACCCCUAAGGCGAGGCCGAAAGGCGUAGUCGAUGGGAAACGGGUUAAUAUUCCCGUACUUGGUGUUACUGCGAAGGGGGGACGGAGAAGGCUAUGUUGGCCGGGCGACGGUUGUCCCGGUUUAAGCGUGUAGGUGUGUGUUCCAGGUAAAUCCGGUUCACUUUAACACUGAGGCGUGAUGACGAGGCACUACGGUGCUGAAGCAACAAAUGCCCUGCUUCCAGGAAAAGCCUCUAAGCAUCAGGUAACAUCAAAUCGUACCCCAAACCGACACAGGUGGUCAGGUAGAGAAUACCAAGGCGCUUGAGAGAACUCGGGUGAAGGAACUAGGCAAAAUGGUGCCGUAACUUCGGGAGAAGGCACGCUGACACGUAGGUGAAGUGAUUUACUCAUGGAGCUGAAGUCAGUCGAAGAUACCAGCUGGCUGCAACUGUUUAUUAAAAACACAGCACUGUGCAAACACGAAAGUGGACGUAUACGGUGUGACGCCUGCCCGGUGCCGGAAGGUUAAUUGAUGGGGUCAGCGCAAGCGAAGCUCCUGAUCGAAGCCCCGGUAAACGGCGGCCGUAACUAUAACGGUCCUAAGGUAGCGAAAUUCCUUGUCGGGUAAGUUCCGACCUGCACGAAUGGCGUAAUGAUGGCCAGGCUGUCUCCACCCGAGACUCAGUGAAAUUGAACUCGCUGUGAAGAUGCAGUGUACCCGCGGCAAGACGGAAAGACCCCGUGAACCUUUACUAUAGCUUGACACUGAACAUUGAGCCUUGAUGUGUAGGAUAGGUGGGAGGCUUUGAAGUGUGGACGCCAGUCUGCAUGGAGCCGACCUUGAAAUACCACCCUUUAAUGUUU